rnacentral:rRNA from 1 species
UACGGGGGGGGUAAGCGUUGUUCGGAAUUACUGGGCGUAAAGGGCUCGUAGGCGGCCAACUAAGUCAGACGUGAAAUCCCUCAGCUUAACUGGGGAACUGCGUCUGAUACUGGAUGGCUUGGAUUCGGGAGAGGAAUGCGGAAUUCCAGGUGUAGCGGUGAAAUGCGUAGAUAUCGGGAGGAACACCGGUGGCGAAGGCGGCGAUCUGGGUAGAUACUGACGCUGAGGUGCGAAAGCGUGGGGAGCAAACAGG